rnacentral:rRNA from 1 species
AUUGAGUUUGAUCCUGGCUCAGAUUGAACGCUAGCGGGAUGCUUUACACAUGCAAGUCGAACGGCAGCGCGAGAGAGCUUGCUCUCUUGGCGGCGAGUGGCGGACGGGUGAGUAAUAUAUCGGAACGUGCCCAGUAGCGGGGGAUAACUACUCGAAAGAGUGGCUAAUACCGCAUACGCCCUACGGGGGAAAGGGGGGGAUCGCAAGACCUCUCACUAUUGGAGCGGCCGAUAUCGGAUUAGCUAGUUGGUGGGGUAAAGGCUCACCAAGGCAACGAUCCGUAGCUGGUUUGAGAGGACGACCAGCCACACUGGGACUGAGACACGGCCCAGACUCCUACGGGAGGCAGCAGUGGGGAAUUUUGGACAAUGGGGGAAACCCUGAUCCAGCCAUCCCGCGUGUAUGAUGAAGGCCUUCGGGUUGUAAAGUACUUUUGGCAGAGAAGAAAAGGUAUCUCCUAAUACGAGAUACUGCUGACGGUAUCUGCAGAAUAAGCACCGGCUAACUACGUGCCAGCAGCCGCGGUAAAU